rnacentral:rRNA from 1 species
CCUACGGGAGGCAGCAGUGGGGGAUAUUGCACAAUGGGGGGAACCCUGAUGCAGCGACGCCGCGUGGGGGAAGAAGGGCCUCGGCGCGUAAAGCCCUUUCAGCAGGGAAGAAAAUGACGGUACCUGAAGAAGAAGCCCCGGCUAACUACGUGCCAGCAGCCGCGGUAAUACGUAGGGGGCAAGCGGUAUCCGGAUUUACUGGGAGGAAAGGGGGCGCAGACGGGGAUGCAAGCCAGGAGUGAAAGCCCGGGGCCCAACCCCGGGACUGCACUUGGAACUGGGUGGCUGGAGUGCAGGAGGGGCAGGCGGAAUUCCUGGUGUAGCGGUGAAAUGCGUAGAUAGCAGGAGGAACACCGGUGGCGAAGGCGGCCUGCUGGACUGCAACUGACGUUGAGGCACGAAAGCGUGGGGAGCAAACAGGAUUAGAUACCCGUGUAGUC